rnacentral:rRNA from 1 species
GGUUAAGCGACUAAGCGUACACGGUGGAUGCCCUGGCAGUCAGAGGCGAUGAAGGACGUGCUAAUCUGCGAUAAGCGUCGGUGAGGUGAUAUGAACCGUUAUAACCGGCGAUUUCCGAAUGGGGAAACCCAGUGUGAUUCGUCACACUAUCAUUAACUGAAUCCAUAGGUUAAUGAGGCGAACCGGGGGAACUGAAACAUCUAAGUACCCCGAGGAAAAGAAAUCAACCGAGAUUCCCCCAGUAGCGGCGAGCGAACGGGGAGGAGCCCAGAGCCUGAAUCAGUGUGUGUGUUAGUGGAAGCGUCUGGAAAGGCGUGCGAUACAGGGUGACAGCCCCGUACACAAAAAUGCACAUAUUGUGAGCUCGAUGAGUAGGGCGGGACACGUGGUAUCCUGUCUGAAUAUGGGGGGACCAUCCUCCAAGGCUAAAUACUCCUGACUGACCGAUAGUGAACCAGUACCGUGAGGGAAAGGCGAAAAGAACCCCGGCGAGGGGAGUGAAAAAGAACCUGAAACCGUGUACGUACAAGCAGUGGGAGCCUCUUAAUGGGGUGACUGCGUACCUUUUGUAUAAUGGGUCAGCGACUUAUAUUCUGUAGCAAGGUUAACCGAAUAGGGGAGCCGAAGGGAAACCGAGUCUUAACUGGGCGUUAAGUUGCAGGGUAUAGACCCGAAACCCGGUGAUCUAGCCAUGGGCAGGUUGAAGGUUGGGUAACACUAACUGGAGGACCGAACCGACUAAUGUUGAAAAAUUAGCGGAUGACUUGUGGCUGGGGGUGAAAGGCCAAUCAAACCGGGAGAUAGCUGGUUCUCCCCGAAA